UUAAAACAAAUAAAAAGAGAUGCUUCACUCAGCAGGCAGUCACCUUGUGAAAUUCACUGUCACCAUAGGUCACUGGGCUGAAUAAUUUUAUGACCAAUAAUAACAUUUGUCUGAACGCAUGCUGAGAAAAGGUUACACUUACAAUGCCUGAAUCCAAUAUGUCCACUGAAUCUCUCAAUGUAGUUUCUCUCUCAGCCAUUGAAUCAAUUACCCCUAUAUAUCUAAUUUGUCAAUACCUUAAAUCUGGA
rnacentral:lncRNA from 1 species